rnacentral:rRNA from 1 species
GAUGAACGCUGGCGGCGUGCCUAAUACAUGCAAGUCGAACGCUGAAGGCGGAGCUUGCUCUUCUGGAUGAGUUGCGAACGGGUGAGUAACGCGUAGGUAACCUGCCUGUUAGCGGGGGAUAACUAUUGGAAACGAUAGCUAAUACCGCAUGACAACAGUUAUUGCAUGAUAACUGUUUAAAAGGGGCAACUGCUCCACUAGCAGACGGACCUGCGUUGUAUUAGGUAGUUGGUGAGGUAUCGGCGCACCAAGGCGACGAUACAGAGCAGACCGGAGAGGGUGAUCAGCCAGCCUGAGAGUGUGACACGGCCCAGAGGGCUACGGAUGGGAGCCAGAGGGAAACGGCAGGAAGGGGCGGAGGACAGAGCGAGCAACGCCGCAGGAGUGAGGAGGAUUGUCGGAUCGGAAAGCUCGGUUGUAAGAGAAGAACGAGUGUGAGAGUGGAACGUUCACACUGUGACGGUAACUGAUCAGAAAGGAACGGCUAACUACGUG